GGGACUGUUUAAGAAUCCCAACAAAUUACCAGAACCUGGUCCACCUGUCCUCCCGCGCCACCUGCCCACCAAAUGAAUUCCGAGGGGAGGUCACUAAUCAGAAACACACCCACACCCUCGUGACGGGGCCAAGCUGCCAAGCUGACACUUAGCGAGCAAGUACGGACCUCUCCUCGCAGGCUCCGGUGGGAAAGGCUCCUGGAAGGGCGCGAGCCAGGAAAGUAGAUGAAGUGAAGAGAUGAAGACUGCGUGGGGUAGUUGUUGGAAAAGCUCGGAUCAUCCCCAACCCAGCCCCGUCUUGUCCGGCCCCAAAAGGCCCAUCUCGGCCGAGCUACUCACACUUUGUACGGCAGCCGUGGGUCCGACGUCAGCGUGAUCUUAAAGGAAACCUUCGACCUGAGGAAAAGAGCGGGAGAGAGUCAGGGUCGGGCAGCUGGACCAGGAAUUAUGGCAGUCGAUUGAUGUCAGAGUGGGAUUCAAAGUAGAACUUCAGUGACUCCAAGGAGCACCAAGUCACCAAAAGUUGGCCUUCUGUAUCCAUGAGUUCCAUAUGAGUGGAUUCAACCAACUGUAGAUUGCCAAAAGAUAAAAACAAGCAAGAAAGCAAACAAAUAAAAGUAACAACAAAAUUUAAGAACCCCUUGCAUGGAAGGAUGCUUAUUUCCUCUGGACUGAAAGAUGGCAUCAGAAGUGGGAUCUAAAGUAAAGCUUCUAACAAUCCCCAUGAGCACUGAGUGACCAAGCAAGGUACACGCCAGGCCUGUUCUGUCUGUUGCUCUCACAGAGGAGCUGGGGAUCGUGGAGGUUCAUGACAGGAUGAAAAGAAACCUGAGAAGCACUCUUGAAGAGAGGUUUCUGAAUAACUUUCGAAUCAUAUCAUUUGGACUGGAUAACAGUGUUGAGGCAGAGAAGUUUCAUAAUCUGCCUAAGAUCAUUGCAUUUACAAGUGACGAACCCACUGCACAAAUUUUGGCAAUGACAGAAACUUCAUCUGCAUUGGCUUCGGCAAAGCAGAAAUUUAUUAGCUUACAAGGGAGAGUGGAUUGUCAUUGAGACAUAUGUUCUGCUUACGUGGAGAGUAACUUGAGCAACGUUACCCACCUCUAUGUGGAAACACAGGUUUAUUUAGUAUGUUGAAAUUCCAGACAUAACUAUCUGUUCAGUAGCAGUGGUUCCUAUAAGACAACAACUUCACUGUUCAUUUUGUGCUAGUAGAAUGGAACUUCACGGACCUUGGAGAAGCAUACUCCAAACACUACAAAUGAUGGUUAUACUUUGGAGAGAUGCUAAGACAGCAGAUGCUAAAAUCCAGAUACCUUUUGUGAAUAUGAGGCAUAUCUACUGGGAACACAUCAUAAUAAUCUGUUGAGGUAAACAUUAAAGAUGGUGGCAAUAAGCAGUUGGAGAAAAAGAAAAAUAUCAACAUGCAAGGCACCAUUGUUUUCUUGCUUCUUAAUUGUAACUUUUUAUUUUUUGUGUAUAUGGCUAUCACAGAGAUUUAAAAAUUAAUCAUUGAAAAUCAUUAAUAGAAUCGACCUGUGAGCAUCAACACAGAAAUGGAUAAAGAAAAUGUGUUAUAUACACAGUGGGAUACCAUUAAGCCUAAAAAUGAAGGAAAUCUUGUUAUUCACAGCAACAUGGGUGAGCCUGGGGGGGCAUUAUGUUCAGUGAAAUAAGUCAGGCACAGAAAGAUAAAUAUCACCUGUUCUCACUUAUAUGUGAGAGCUUAAAGAAGCUCAGCUUAUAAAAGUAGAGGGUAGAAUUGUUUAGUAUUAGAGGCUUGGAAUGGUAGGGAGGAGAAGAUAGCUAGAAGUUGGUUAACAGACACAAAAUUGUCUAGAUGGAGAGAAAGUUCCAGUGUGCCAUAGCACUGUAGGGUGACUAUAGUUAACCAUAAUCUACCAUAUUUUCCAAUAGCAGGAAGAGAGAACUUUGAAUGUUUGAAGUGCUGGACAUUCUUACUACUCUGAGUUGAUUAUUACACAUUGCACACAUGCAUCAAAACAUCACUCUGUAUCCUACAAAUAUGUACAAUAUUACGUGUUAACUCAAAAUAAGAAAAAAUGAAAUCUUGAUUUAUUAUUAUCUAAUUUCAGUAUUUUACCACUUUCCCCCAAAUGCAAAAGCAAUUUAGUACUAUUUUUCAGCAUCCCAUUGUCUUGUAUUUUACUAUACAUUUUAUGAAUCUGAUACUACAUGUAUUUUUUCCCUAGUAUUGAUUUACAUAUACCUACACACAUCCGUACUUUCACCUGGGAUUCCUUUGUUUUAGUCCUUUAGUAUUCACUUUAGAGAAGAUCUGCAAGUUGUGAAUUCCCUUAGCAUAUGAUUGUCUCUAUUAUAUGCUAAAAGAAUAUGAUAGAAUAAAUAAAAGAAUAUGUUUUUCAUUUUGAAGGAUAUUUUCACAGAGUAUAGAUUUUGAGGGGUUUAUAUUUACUUUUAAUAUUUUAAAGAUAUCAUUCACUUAUCUUCCAGCUUCCAUCGUUUUUGACAAAAAUUUAAACAUCAGUCUUGAUUUUCCUUUGAAGAUACUAUGAUUUUCUAACUGCUUUAAAAUGUUUCCCUUUGUCUUUGAUAUUCAGCAAUUUGACUAGGACAUAUCUAGAUGUGGUCAUCUUUAUAUGUGUCCAAAUGAGUUUCGCUGCGCUUUAUAAACAUGAAUUGAUAAUUUUAUCUGAUUUGAAAAAUUCUAGACAAAUACUUUAUCAAAUAUUGUUCCUAUUCCAUGCUCGUCUCUCUUUCUGAGCAAUAACUAUAAUUCAAACUAUUUUAUCAUGUUCCAAAUAUCUCUUACUUUAUGUUACUGUUUUCUUCCCUGCUUCGGUAUGUAAAAUUUUUAUUGACUUAUCUUUGGGGUCACUAAUUCUUUAUUCUGUUGUACCUAAUUUUUAAUAUUAAAAAUUUUUAAUUUUAAUUUUAAUAUUAAAUUAGUAUUAAAAUUUUAAUAUUAUUUUAAUGUUAUUUUUAUUAAAUAAUAUUAAUAUUUUAAUGUUAUUUUUAUUAAAUAAUAUUAAUAUUUUAAUGUUAUUUUUAUUAAAUAAUAUUAAUAUUUUAAUGUUAUUUUUAUUAAAUAAUAUUAUUUUAAUGCUAUUUUUAUUAAAUAUUAAUAUUUUAAUGUUAUUUUUAUUAAAUAUUUAAUAUUUUAAUAUUUUAAAUUUUAUAAUAUAUAAGUGGAGUUAUUUUGAAUACUUUUUAUUUCAGUUCCAUUAACUAGAUUAUCUCUUGAUCUCCUUUAUAGUUUUUCUCUAAACUUUAGUUACCUACUUUCAGGAUUAUUUUAAACUUUUAUUUUAGGUUCAAGGGUACAUGAACAGGUUUGUUAUCUAGGUAAAUAGCAUGUCAUGAAGUUUUGAGGUAUAGAUUAUUUUGUCACCCAGGUAAUAAGCAUAGUACCCAAUAGGCAGUUUUUCAAUCCUUUCCCCACUCUCACUGUCGUCACUUAAGUAGGCCUUGGUGUCUAACAUUCUCUUCCUUGUGUCCAUGUGUUCUGAAUGGUUAGCUUCCAUUUAUAAAUGAGAACGUGGUAUUUUGUUCUCUGUUUCUACUUUAGUUUGCUUAAGAUAAUGGUCUCCUGCAGCAUACAUGUUUCUGAAAAAGACAUGAUUUCAUGCUUUUUUAUAACUGCAUACUAUUCCAUGGUGUAUAUUUAUCACUUUUUCUUUAUCCAGUGCACUAUUAAUGGUCAUCUAGGUUGAUUCCAUGUCUUUGCAAUUGUAAUUAGUGCUGCAGUGAACUUAUGCAUAAAUGUGUCUUUAUGGUGGAAUGAUUUAUAUUCCUUUCAGUACAUACCCAAUAAUGGAAUUGUUGGAUCAACUGGUCAUUCAUUCUGUGUUAAGUUCUUUGAGAGAUCUCUGAACUGCUUUCUGCAAUGGCUAAACUAAUUUAUGUUCCCAGCAACAGUGUGUAAGUGCUCCCUUUUCUCCACAACCUUAGCUGCAACUGUUAUUUUUUGACUUUUUAAUAAUAGUCCUUCUGACAGGUGUGAGAUGGUAUCUCACUGUGGUUUUGAUUUGCAUUUCUCUAAUGAUUAGUGACAUUAAGAAUUUUUUAUAUGCUUGUUGGUCACAUGUAUGUCUUCUUUUGAGUAGUGUCUUUGCCCACUCUUUAAUGGGGUUGUUUUUUGCUUGUUAAUUUGUUUAAGUUUCUUAUUGAUUCUAGAUAUUACACCUUUUUUGAAUGCAUAGUUUGCAAAUAUUUUUCACCAUUCUACAGGUUGUGUGUUUACUCUAUGUAUUUGUCUAUCCUUGUGUUGCUAUAAAGAACUACCUGAGACUGAGUAAUUUAUAAAGAAAAGAGGUUUAAUUGACUUAUAGUUCUGCAGGCUGUACAGGAAACAUGGCUGGGGAGGUCUCAGGAAACUUACAAUCAUGGUGGAAAGUGAAGAGGAAGAAGACACAUCUUACAUGACAGAAGCAGGAAGAAGAGAGUGAAGGGGUAAGUGCCACACACUUUUAAACCACCAGAUCUCAUAAGAACUCACUGUCAUGAGAACAGCAAGGGGGAUGUUUGCCCCUAUGAUCCAAUCACCUCCCACCAGGCCCCUCCUCCAACACUGAGAAAACUAUAAUUUGACAUGAGAAUUGGGUGGGGACACAGAGUCAAAUCAUAUCAUUCUGUUGGUAGUUUCUUUUGCUGUGCUGAAACUCUUUAAUUAGGUCUCAUGUGUCCGUUUUUUGUUGUUGUUUUUACAAUUGCUUUUUGUAUCUUUGUCAUGAAAUCUUUGCUAGGGCCUAUGCCCAGAAUGCUAUUUCCUAGAUUAUCUUCCAGCAUCUUAAUAGUCUUAUGUUUUACAUUUAAGUCUUCAAUCCAUCUUGAAUUGAUUUGUGUAUAUGGUGUAAGGAAGGGAUCCAGUUUCAAUCUUCUGCAUAUGGCUAGUCAGUUAUCCCACACCAUUUAUCGCAUAGGGACUCCGUUCCCCAUUGCUUGUUUUUGUCAGCUUUGUCAAAGGUAAUCUAAAUGGUUGUAGGCGUGUGGCAUUAUUUCUGAGCUCUCUAUUCUGUUCCAUUGAUUUACAUUUCUAUUUUUGUACCAAACCCAUGAUGUUUGGUUACUGUAGCCUUGUAGUAUAGUUUAAAGUUGGGUAACAGGAUGCUUCUAGCAUUUUUCUUUUUGCUUACUAUUGCCUGCUAUUUGGGAUCUUUUUUGGUUCUACAUGAAUUUUAAAAUAGUUUUUUUUUUCUAGUUCUGUGAAAAAUGUCAUUAGUAGUUUGAUAGGAAAAGCAUUGAGUCUGUAAAUUGCUCUGGACAUUAUGGCCAUUUUAACAAUAUUGAUGCUUCUUAUCCAUAAGCAUGGGGGGAUUUUCCAUUUGUUUGCAUCAUCUCUGAUUUAUUUGAGCAGUGUUUUGUAAUUCUCAUUGUAAACACGUUUCACCUCCCUGCGUAGCUAUAUUCCUGGGUAUUUUAUUGUUUUUAUGGCCAUUGUGAAUGCGAUUGUGUUCUUGAUUUGGCUCUCAGCUUGGAUAUUGUUGCUAUAUAGGAAUGCUACUUUUUGAACACUAAUUUUGAAUUCUGAAACAUUGCUGAAAUUGUUUAUCAAAUCAAGGAGGUUUUGGGUAGGGACUAUUUGGUUUUCUAGGUAUAGAAUCAUAUCGUCUGCAAAAGGGGAUUAUUUGACUUUCUAUUAUCCCAUUUGGAUGCUUUUUUUUCUUUUCUUUUGGCCAAUUAUUCUGCUUAGGACUUCCAGUAGUAUGUUUAAUAAAAAUAAUAAGAGAGGGCAUUCUUGUCUUGUUUUAGUUUUCAAGCGGAAUGCUUCCAGCUUUUGCCCAUUCUGGAUGAUGUUGGCUGUGAAUUUUUCAUAAAUGGCUCUUAUUAUUUGAGUAUGUGCCUUUGAUGCUUACUUUGUUGAGAGUUUUUAACAUGAAGGGACAUUGAAUUUUAUCAAAAGCCCUUUCUGCAUCUAUUGAGAUGAUCAUGUGAUUUUUGUUUCUAGUUUUGUUUAUAUAAUGAAUUACAUUGAUUGAUUUGCCUCUAUGGAACCAAUUCUUGCCUCCCAAGAAUAAAGCUUAAGAGAUUGUGGUCAUUUAGCUUUUCAAUGUGCUGCUGAAUUCAGUUUGCUAAUAUUUUGUUGAGGAUUUUUACAUCUUUGUUCAUCAGGAAUAUUGGCUUGUAGUUUUCUUUAUUGUUGUUUGUCUGCCAAGUUUUGGUAUCAGAAGGAUGCUGGGCUCAUAGAAUGAAUUAGAGAGGAAUUCUUCCUCCUAAAUGUUUUGGAAUAUUCACAGUAGGGAUUAUACCAGGUCUUCUUAAUAUGUCUGGUAGAAUUCAUCUGUGAAUCCAUCUGGUCCUGGGAUUUUUCUGGUUGGUAGGCUUUUUAUUACUGAUUAAAUUUCAGAACUCAUUAUUGGUCUGUUCAGGGUUUUAAUUUCUUCUUGGUGCAAUAUUGGGAGGUUGUAUGUUUUCAGGAAUUUAUCAGUUUCUUCUAGGUUUUCUAUGUCGUGUGCAUUUAGGUGUUCACAGUAGUUUCUAGGGGCUUUUUGUAUUUUUGUAGGGUUAGUGGUAGUGUUCACCUUUGUCAUUUCUGAUUUUGUUUAUUUGGAUCUUCCCCCUUUUUUCUUUAUUAUUCUGACUAGGGGUCUAUCUAUCUAAUCUAUUCCUUCAAAGGAUCAAUUCUUAUAUUUGUUGAACUUUUGUACAGUUUUCUGCUUCUCAAUAUCCUUCCAUUCAGCUUUGAUUUUUGUUAAUCCUUGUCUUCUGCUAGCUUUGAGGUUGCUUGCUCUGAUUUCUCUAGUUCUUCUAAGUGUGCUGUGAGAUUAUUAAUUGGAGGUCUUUCUAACUUUUUGAUGUGGCAUUUAGCAGUAUAAACACCCCUCUUAAUGCUGUUUUUACUGUGUCUCAGAGAUUCUGGUAUGUUGUAUCUUUAUUCUUCUUAACUUCAAAAAAUUUCUUGAUUUCUGCUUUGACUUUAUUGUUUAUACAAAGGUCAUUCAAAAGCAGGGCUUUUAAAAAUUUCCAUGUAAUUUUAUGGUUUUGAGGGUUUUUUAAGUAAUAAUUUCUAUUUUUAUUGUGCUGUGGUUUGAGAGUGUGAUUUGUAUGAUUUUGUUUUUGUUUGUUUGUUUUUGAUUUCCUGAGGAUUAUUUUAUGGCUAAUUGUGUUUUCUCUUUUGCAGUGUGUGCUCUGUGCAGAUGAGUAGAAUAUAUAUUCUGGUGUUGUUUGGUGGAGAGUUCUACAGAUGUGUAUUGAGUCCAUUUGGUCAAUGUUGAGUUUGAAUCCUGGAUAUUUUUGUGAGUUUUCUGCCUCAGUGAUCUGUGUAAUAUACUGUCUGUGGGGUGUUGAAGUCUACUACUAUUAUUGUCCAGUUAUCUACAUCUCUUCAUAGGUCUCUAAGAACUUGCUUUAUGAAUCUGGAUUCUCCUGUGUUGGAUGCAUAUAUAUUUACAAUAGUAACAUCUUUCUGUUGUAUUGAACCCUUUACUAUUCUGUAAUGUCUUCCUUUGUCUUUCUUGAUCAUUGUUGGUUUAAAGUCUGUUUUGACUGAAAUUCGACUGUCAACCCCAGCUAUUUUCUGUUUUCCAUUGGCUUGGUAGAUUUUUCUUCAUCCCUUUACUUUAAGCCUAUGGAUCCAUGUGAGAUAUGUCUGUUGAAGACAGCAUACAGUUGGAUCAUGC
rnacentral:lncRNA from 10 species